GAAUUGUCCAUCUGUUUUUGUUUGUUUUGGUUUUGCGCACUUGUUCAUAUAUUUUUUUCCCUUCCCUAUUUACCAAAAAUCCUCCUAUCUGACCUGAGAUAUCCCAUCCCGACCACUGCUUUUAGAGUACGUUACGACGAUGGUCCUUGUGGCAUAGAGACGCCCAUAGCCACACUUAUUUACACAAGAGAGAUAAACGUGUUUCCUCCUCAUCUCCAGCCAGAUUUCUGAAAGACUGGCUUUCGGUGUUGCUUUUUGGAAGACGAAUUGAUUAUGAAGCCAACCGAAAUGGAACCGUCCCGAGAUCGAGAGCUGGUAUUGAAGGACAGGCACUCAUUUUCAGAAAUGUCCAACAGGCCAGCUAUCCCAAUGUGGGAUAGUGCAGACCC
rnacentral:sRNA from 2 species